CACUAUAACGAUCAGCAGAUUGGCAAAGUAGUCCAGGUUUACAGGAAGAAAUACGUAAUCUACAUUGAAUGGGUGCGGCGGGAAAAGGCUAAUGGCACAACUGUCCAUGUAGGCAUUCACCCCAGCAAGGUGGUUAUCACUAGACUAAAACUGGACAAAGACAGCAAAAAGAUCCUUGAACGGAAAGCCAAAUCUCACUAAGUAGGAAAGGAAAAGGGCAAAUACAAGGAAGAAACAAUUGAGAAGAUGCAGGAAUAAAGUGCAGAGACAUGAAAGAAU